rnacentral:rRNA from 1 species
UACAGAGGUGGCAAGCGUUGUUCGGAAUUACUGGGCGUAAAGCGCGCGUAGGCGGCUUUGCAAGUCGGGUGUGAAAUCCCCAGGCUUAACCUGGGAACUGCAUUCGAGACUGCAUUGCUAGAGUAUGGGAGAGGGAAGUGGAAUUUCCGGUGUAGCGGUGAAAUGCGUAGAUAUCGGAAGGAACAUCAGUGGCGAAAGCGGCUUCCUGGACCAGCACCGACGUCAGGCACGAAAGCGUGGGGAGCAAACAGGG